AAAAAUGAACUUAGGGCAUACAGGUGGAUACCUUGGCUCAACAGGCGAUGAAGGACGUGCAAAGCUGCGAAAAGCGUCGGGGAGCUGCUUAGAAGCUACGAUCCGGCGAUAUCCGAAUGGGGCAACCCCCAUGCCGUCAUGGGCAUGGACACCGCGAUGAAUUCAAUAGUCGCGAGUGAGCGUACCCGGUGAACUGAAACAUCUAAGUAGCCGGAGGAAUAGACAUCAAACGAGAUUCCCGUAGUAGUGGCGAGCGAACUGGGAACAGCCUAAACCGUUUACGUGCAAGCGUUCGGGCGUUGCGUAAGCGGGGUUGUACGACAACCAUCCGAGGUCCGAAUACCUCGGCACGAGUUACCAAAUCGAUCGAUAAUCGAAGCCGGCUGGAAAGCCGCACCAGAGUAGGUGAUAGUCCUGUAGGUGAAAUCGUUCGAUCUCGUGGUGUUGUUCGUGAGUAGGGCGGGGCACGAGAAACCUUGUCUGAAACUGGGAGGACCAUCUUCCAAGGCUAAAUAUUCUGUUGAGACCGAUAGUGAACGAGUACCGUGAGGGAAAGGUGAAAAGAACCCCCGAAGGGGAGUGAAAUAGAAUAUGAAACCGUAUGCCUACAAACCGUGAAAGGCCAAUGCGCAAGCAAGGCUAAUCGCGUGCCUAUUGAAGAAUGAACCUGCGAGUUACUUGUAACGGGCUUGGUUAAGGUGUUGAGCCGGAGCCGUAGCGAAAGCGAGUCUGAAUAGGGCGAAUUUGUCCGUUGCAGUAGACCCGAAACCGGGUGAUCUAUCCAUGGCCAGGUUGAAGCAUGAUUAAUCUCAUGUGGAGGACCGAACCUGUCGUUGUUGAAAAAACGUUGGAUGAGCUGUGGAUAGGGGUGAAAAGCCAAUCGAACCCGGAGAUAGCUGGUUCUCCCCGAAAUAGUUUGAGGACUAGCGUCGUUUGUUAACCCACGGGGGUAGAGCACUGACAGAGCUAGGGGUCUUACCGGAUUACCGAACUCCAUCAAACUCCGAAUACCGUGGCGAAUUAAGCGGCAGUCAGACUGUGGGGGAUAAGCUCCAUGGUCAAAAGGGAAACAGCCCAGAUCAACAGCUAAGGUCCCUAAUCGAUGCUCAGUGGUAAAGGAAGUCUUGUCGCAGAAACAACUAGGAGGUUGGCUUAGAAGCAGCCACCCUUGAAAGAGUGCGUAAUAGCUCACUAGUCGAGUGGCGAGGCGCCGAAAAUGUAACGGGGCUCAAGCAUCGAACCGAAGCUUUGGGAUGUGUAAACAUCGGUAGGGGAGCGUUGUGGCGUAGGCUGAAGCACGACCGCGAGGACGUGUGGACGAACCACAAGUGCGAAUGCAGGUAUAAGUAGCGAUAAAAGAGAGUGAGAACCUCUCUCGCCGGAAGUCUAAGGUUUCCUGAGCUACGUCAAUCGUCUCAGGGUGAGUCGGGAGCUAAGCCGAGGCUGAGAAGCGUAGGCGAUGCACAAGCAGUUCAUAUUCUGCUACCACCGACGACCGUUAAGACUCUGUCGAACAGCAUUCUCGAUCGUGAAAGCGAUCGGUGGUGCCGUUCGUCAUGGUCUUUGAAUUGAUGGGGUGACGCAGGAAGAUAUGUCAUCGCGCUGAUGGAUAUGCGCGUCUAAGCCGGUAGGUGUUGCUGUAGGUAAAUCCGCAGCAUUUAACACCGAGAAGCGAAUGCGAGGCUCUUCGGAGCCGAAGUGACAGACUCUACGCUGCCAAGAAAAGCCUCUAUAUAGGAUCGUAGGUGCCCGUACCGUACACCGACACUGGUAGACUGGCAGAGCAUGCUAAGGCGACGGGAGAACCCCUGUUAAGGAACUCGGCAAAUUGACCCCGUAACUUUGGGAGAAGGGGUGCCUUCGUCGGACUAGACAUUACGUCGAAAGCUGAUGGAGGUCGCAGAAAAUAGGCCCAAGCGACUGUUUAACAAAAACACAGGUCUCUGCGAAUGCGAAAGCAGACGUAUAGGGGCUGACUCCUGCCCGGUGCUGGAAGGUUAAAGGGACGGGUUAGCGCAAGCGAAGCUCGGAACUGAAGCCCCAGUAAACGGCGGCGGUAACUAUAACCGUCCUAAGGUGACACAAUCGUUGCCUCGCCGCGUAGUAAUAUGCGGCUGUACACUUGGCUAUAUGCGGGAACAUCCUUUAGAGCCCACGCCUACUCGUCGACGGCUCGUCGGCAGUAACAAUGGCUGGGAUUGGACAAUCCGCAGGAAACGUGCUCUUCGAUCGCUUCACGGCGUUCGUGGAAAGCGGAUCCUCAGAGACUAUACGCCAGGCAUCCAACGGUAUCGAAAGGUACGAUAACGAUGAACCUCGACCCUCAAUGGGUGGUUGGAUUCGUCGAUGGAGAGGGUUGCUUCUUCAUCGGGGUCCAGAGAAACCCAACGGUCAGAAUCGGCUUCCAAGUCAUUCCGGAAUUUCGCGUCGUUCAACAUAAACGCGAUCUCGACGUGCUCCACGGGCUGAAGAAAUUCUUCGGUUUCGGGCGCAUUUGUCAAAAUCACGACGAUCGAUGGGAAUACCGGGUGAGAAAACUCGAGCAGCUCCGCGAGAUCGCGGCCUUUUUCGAAAAGUACUCGUUACGAACGAAAAAGCGCAUCGACGCUCAGAGAUUUGCGAAGGUUUUAACACUGAUGGAAGAUGGCCGGCAUCUGACAAAUGAAGGCUUGAGGGAGAUCGAAGAUAUCGCGCUUUCGAUGAAUACCGGUAAUCGUCCGCGAUUGCAGGCAUUAUUGGAUGAAGAUAGAGUCCACUCCGGCGUGAAAGCGUCGGAAGAAAAGUGAGCGAAAUUCCUUGUCGGGUAAGUUCCGACCUGCACGAAUGGAGUAACGACUUGGGCGCUGUCUCGAUGGGGGGCCCGGCGAAAUUGCAGUACCAGUGAAGAUGCUGGUUACCCGCAGCAGGACGG
rnacentral:rRNA from 1 species